GGAGAUGUCUGCAAGAACGGCACCUUUCUCCUGGUCAGGCGGGAAACUGAGGCCCAAAGACCAAGAAACGCUGGCUUCUGGACACACAUCGUGGAAGGCGUUGCUGUUUGUCGCUGCUGCCCGGGCCAGACGUCUAGGAGGAGCCGCUGCAUCCGAGCCUUCUGCAGGGUCCGAAGCUGCCAGCCCAAAAAGUGUGCAGGCCCCCAGCGGUGCCUGAACCCAGUGCCUGCAGUGCCCAGUCCCAGCCCCAGCGUGAGGAAGAGACAGGUGUCCCUCAACUGGCAGCCACUGACGCUCCAGGAGGCCAGAGCUCUACUGAAGCGGCGGCGGCCCCGGGGGCCAGGGGGCCGGGGACUACUGAGAAGGAGGCCCCCACAGCGUGCCCCCGCUGGCAAGGCCCCGGUCCUGUGUCCCUUGAUCUGUCACAAUGGCGGUGUGUGCGUGAAGCCUGACCGCUGCCUCUGUCCCCCGGACUUCGCUGGCAAGUUCUGCCAGUUGCACUCCUCGGGCGCCCGGCCCCCGGCCCCGGCUGUACCAGGCCUCACCCGCUCCGUGUACACUAUGCCACUGGCCAACCACCGCGACGACGAGCACGGCGUGGCAUCUAUGGUGAGCGUCCACGUGGAGCACCCGCAGGAGGCGUCGGUGGUGGUGCAC
rnacentral:lncRNA from 10 species